GGGCGUGUGGCUCAGUUGGUAGAGCGUUCGCUUCGCAUCUUCAGUACGAAUUCUCGGUACGCGUGCAUGCGAAAAGUCCUGGGUUCGAUUCCCAGCUCGUCCA